rnacentral:tRNA from 1 species
GGAGGGAUGGCCGAGCGGUUUAAGGCGCACGCUUGGAAAGCGUGUUGAUGGGCAACUGUCGCGGGGGUUCGAAUCCCCCUCCCUCCGCCA